AGUUAAAUUUGCACAUAUUUUAAAAUUAUUUUUACUAGGGCCGGCGUCCGCGCUGCGCGCGGAUUACAUGUUUAAUAAAAAUCAGGUGAAUUAAAAUUGUGUGUUUUUUGGUUUCUGAAAUGAUAAGUUAAGUUUUGUUUUUUUAUACAGGGGAGAAGUUCGAAACGGUGAUCAUUUUUUUUUAAAAAACAACUGAAGUGGUAACGUAAAUGUUUUAAAAGUUGACUGGUGGUGUUUGCUAUGAGGCUUAGGAUAGCAGUUUAUUCCUCUUUUGGAAGCGUUGAAUGAUAUCAAUUUCGUUGUUAAAGUAGAAGCGCGUUCCAGGUGUUGCUGUGAGUGAUAGUUUUUCUGAAAAAGACAAAUAUUUGUUAGCAUUUAGUUUUUUGUAAAGUUUAUGUUUAGUUUAUUACCUUCAUGUAUCCGUGGAAUGAUACUUGUGAUGAUUACGACUUGUUUUUUCCUUGUUGAUAUGCGAUUUAACUCUCUGAAAUUAGAUGCCUCCUUGUCCCAUAAAGUUAGACGUACCAAUUUCGAUCUACAAAUAAUUAUUGUAUUAGAUUUUGUUUAGUUGUAAACCAAUUAUUACUUAAUAAAAAGUUUGUAC